UACAGAGGUCCCGAGCGUUGUUCGGAUUCACUGGGCGUAAAGGGUGCGUAGGCGGUUGUUUAAGUUUGGUGUGAAAUCUCCCGGCUCAACUGGGAGGGUGCGCCGAAUACUGAAUGACUAGAGUGCGGGAGAGGAGAGUGGAAUUCCUGGUGUAGCGGUGAAAUGCGUAGAUAUCAGGAGGAACACCGGUGGUGUAGACGGCUCUCUGGACCGUAACUGACGCUGAGGCACGAAAGCGUGGGUAGCAAACAGG
rnacentral:rRNA from 1 species